CAGCCGCCGCGGUAAUACGUAAGGAGCGAGCGUUGUCCGGAUUCACUGGGCGUAAAGCGCUCGUAGGCGGCUCCUUAAGUCUCACGUGAAAGCCCCCGGCUCAACCGGGGAGGGUCGUGGGAAACUGGGGAGCUUGAGGGCAGGAGAGGAGAGUGGAAUUCCCGGUGUAGCGGUGAAAUGCGUAGUUAUCGGGAGGAACACCAGUGGCGAAGGCGGCUCUCUGGUCUGUCCCUGACGCUGAGGAGCGAAAGCCAGGGGAGCGAACCGGAUUAGAUACCCGGGUAGUCCUGGCUGUAAACGAUGGGUACUAGGUGUGGGAGGUUCGACCCCUUCCGUGCCGCAGCUAACGCAUUAAGUCCCCCGCCUGGGGAGUACGGCCGCAAGGUUGAAACUUAAAGGAAUUGGCGGG
rnacentral:rRNA from 1 species